CUACGGGCCGCUGCAGUGAGGAAUAUUGCACAAUGGGGGGAACCCUGAUGCAGCAACGCCGCGUGGAGGAUGACGCAUUUCGGUGUGUAAACUCCUUUUAUAUGUCAAGAAAAUGACGGUAGCAUAUGAAUAAGCACCGGCUAACUCCGUGCCAGCAGCCGCGGUAAUACGGAGAGUGCAAGCGUUACUCGGAAUCACUGGGCGUAAAGGACGCGUAGGCGGGUUGGAAAGUCAGGUGUGAAAUCCUACAGCUUAACUGUAGAACUGCACUUGAAACUUCUAAUCUAGAGUAUGGGAGGGGGAGAUGGAAUUAGUGGUGUAGGGGUAAAAUCCGUGGAUAUCACUAGGAAUACCUAAAGCGAAGGCGAUCUCCUGGAACAUUACUGACGCUAAGGCGUGAAAGCGUGGGGAGCAAACAGGAUUAGAUACCCCCGUAGUC
rnacentral:rRNA from 1 species